rnacentral:rRNA from 1 species
CCUACGGGUGGCAGCAGUGAGGAAUAUUGGUCAAUGGACGAGAGUCUGAACCAGCCAAGUAGCGUGAAGGAUGACUGCCCUAUGGGUUGUAAACUUCUUUUAUAUGGGAAUCAAACGUUCCACGUGUGGGAUUUUGUAUGUACCAUAUGAAUAAGGAUCGGCUAACUCCGUGCCAGCAGCCGCGGUAAUACGGAGGAUCCGAGCGUUAUCCGGAUUUAUUGGGUUUAAAGGGAGCGUAGGUGGAUUGUUAAGUCAGUUGUGAAAGUUUGCGGCUCAACCGUAAAAUUGCAGUUGAAACUGGCAGUCUUGAGUACAGUAGAGGUGGGCGGAAUUCGUGGUGUAGCGGUGAAAUGCUUAGAUAUCACGAAGAACUCCGAUUGCGAAGGCAGUUCACUGGACUGCAACUGACACGGAGGCGCGAAAGUGUGGGUAUCAAACAGGAUUAGAUACCCUUGUAGUC